GGCGGGGUGCCGGAGCGGUCGAACGGGGCGGUCUUGAAAACCGUUGGCCCUGCAAGGGGCCCGUGAGUUCGAAUCUCACCCCCGCCGCUA
rnacentral:tRNA from 1 species